rnacentral:rRNA from 1 species
UACGGGGGGGGGCAAGCGUUGUUCGGAAUUACUGGGCGUAAAGGGCUCGUAGGCGGCCAACUAAGUCAGACGUGAAAUCCCUCGGCUUAACCGGGGAACUGCAUCUGAUACUGGAUGGCUUGAGUUCGGGAGAGGGAUGCGGAAUUCCAGGUGUAGCGGUGAAAUGCGUAGAUAUCUGGAGGAACACCGGUGGCGAAGGCGGCAUCCUGGACCGACACUGACGCUGAGGAGCGAAAGCCAGGGGAGCAAAACGGG